rnacentral:misc_RNA from 1 species
AGUUUUUAUUCAGGAAGCUAUAAUCUGGAAUGUCCAUCUUUGAAAAGGAUCAAGAUCAAUGGCUGUCCCAAAAUUGAUUUAUCCAAUAAUGCACCUUUCUUUGAUCAUAAGGAGCUCUCCAAUUUGGAGUUGUCAUUAGAUGGCAAGGCCACAAAGAUGAUGAUGCAAUUACCAUCAGCCUUCCUUUCGCGAGUAAAAUUUCUUGAUAUUCACCGUUUUAGGGGCAAAUCAGAAAUGUCUCUAUCUGCUUUCCUUCGAGGAUUUCUGAAUAUGGAAACGCUACAUUUAAGCGUCUCUUCUCUCAAAAACCAACCAUUCCGAGAUGAGGGACUUGGUGAUCAUGUGGAAGAUGCCUUGCCACUUCCACGUGCAAAAAACGUGCUAAUAAGUUGUGUUGACGGUUUGAAGCAUAUUUUGAGGGAACACUCUCAACUGUACCCAAUUCUGCAAUAUGUUGAGGCUUUGCAAGUUUAUUUUUGUCAUGAUUUGAUUAGUCUAGCAGUCCCUUCUGCAUCUUUCCAGAAUCUCACAACCCUGGAUGUAGAAAAUUGCAAUGGAUUGAUAAACUUGUUGACAUCAUCUGUAGCCAUAAGUAUGGUGCAACUUGUGACAAU